UAGUCCACGCUGUAAACGAUGAUCACUAAGUGUUCGGCCUUCGGGUUGAGUGCUCAAGCGAAAGCGAUAAGUGAUCCACCUGGGGAGUACGUCGGCAACGAUGAAACUCAAAGGAAUUGACGGGGGCCCGCACAAGCGGUGGAGCAUGUGGUUUAAUUCGAUGAUACGCGAGGAACCUUACCAGGGCUUAAAUGUAGAUUGCAUUAGGUGGAGACACUUAUUUCUUCGGACUAUCUACAAGGUGCUGCAUGGUUGUCGUCAGCUCGUGCCGUGAGGUGUCAGGUUAAGUCCUAUAACGAGCGCAACCCCUGUUGUUAGUUGCCAGCGAGUCAAGUCGGGAACUCUAACAAGACUGCCAGUGCAAACUGUGAGGAAGGUGGGGAUGACGUCAAAUCAUCACGGCCCUUACGUCCUGGGCUACACACGUGCUACAAUGGUAGGGACAGAGAGCAGCCACUUCGCGAGAAGGAGCGAAUCUAUAAACCCUAUCACAGUUCGG
rnacentral:rRNA from 1 species